rnacentral:rRNA from 1 species
GAUGAACGCUGGCGGCGUGCUUAACACAUGCAAGUCGAACGGGAAAUAUUUCAUUGAGACUUCGGUGGAUUUGAUCUAUUUCUAGUGGCGGACGGGUGAGUAACGCGUGGGUAACCUGCCUUAUACAGGGGGAUAACAGUCAGAAAUGGCUGCUAAUACCGCAUAAGCGCACAGAGCUGCAUGGCUCAGUGUGAAAAACUCCGGUGGUAUAAGAUGGACCCGCGUUGGAUUAGCUUGUUGGUGGGGUAACGGCCCACCAAGGCGACGAUCCAUAGCCGGCCUGAGAGGGUGAACGGCCACAUUGGGACUGAGACACGGCCCAGACUCCUACGGGAGGCAGCAGUGGGGAAUAUUGCACAAUGGGGGAAACCCUGAUGCAGCGACGCCGCGUGAAGGAAGAAGUAUCUCGGUAUGUAAACUUCUAUCAGCAGGGAAGAUAGUGACGGUACCUGACUAAGAAGCCCCGGCUAACUACGUGCCAGCAGCCGCGGUAAUACGUAGGGGGCAAGCGUUAUCCGGAUUUACUGGGUGUAAAGGGAGCGUAAACGGUGUGGCAAGUCUGAUGUGAAAGGCAUGGGCUCAACCUGUGGACUGCAUUGGAAACUGUCAUACUUGAGUGCCGGAGGGGUAAGCGGAAUUCCUAGUGUAGCGGUGAAAUGCGUAGAUAUUUAGGAGGAACACCAGUGGCGUAGGCGGCUUACUGGACGGUAAACUGACGUUGAGGCUCGAAAGC